rnacentral:rRNA from 1 species
GCAGUAGGGAAUAUUGGGCAAUGGGCGAGAGCCUGACCCAGCCAUGCCGCGUGCAGGAAGAAGGCUUUCUGAGUCGUAAACUGCUUUUGACAGGGAAGAAUAAGGCUUACGUGUAAGCUGAUGACGGUACCUGCAGAAUAAGCACCGGCUAACUCCGUGCCAGCAGCCGCGGUAAUACGGAGGGUGCGAGCGUUGUCCGGAUUUAUUGGGUUUAAAGGGUGCGUAGGCGGCUUUUUAAGUCCGGGGUGAAAGCCCGCUGCUCAACAGCGGAACUGCCCUGGAUACUGGAGAGCUUGAGAGUAGAGGAGGUUGGCGGAAUGGACAGAGUAGCGGUGAAAUGCAUAGAUACUGUCCAGAACCCCGAUUGCGAAGGCAGCUGACUACACUACAUCUGACGCUGAGGCACGAAAGCGUGGGGAGCGAACAGGAUUAGA